AGAGUUGGGACUCACUGGUAGAACAUCUGCUUUGCAUGCAAAAGGUCCCAGGUUCAAUCCCUGCCAUUUCCA
rnacentral:tRNA from 1 species